GGGCAGAGCUGGCUCACGGAUGUGUCCUCGGCUUACAAACGCAGUUCUCUGGUUCGUCGGAGGACUUCGCCGGCUGGCACUGGCCGAGCCGGGACCCUACCUGUCCCAUUCCCGUAGCAGGGCUGAGACUCCUGCUAUCUGGCCCUGGACACGGUGCCUGGCCCAUAGUAGGGCUCCUGAAUUGGACAGAAACGCAAUGAGAAGCCAAAGUGUGGGCCAACCCGGCUACCUGCGAGCCUGAGCUGUCAUCCCUAGCCCCAGAGAGCCCCGACGUCGGAAGUGAGGCCUGGGGGCGUGCUGAUAGCCUUUCACUCUCUCUUUGCAGCAUGAACGUGCAGGGUGAUUAUGAGCCAGUCGAUGCCACUGGGUUCAUCAAUAUCAACUCCCUCAGGCUGAAGGAAUAUCAUCGCCUCCAGAGCAAGGUCACUGCCAAAUAGACAGGCUGACAACGAGGAGCUGGGCCUCCUCAUUUGCCCAUCUCCCAAGUACAGGCGCUAAUUGUUGUGAUAAUUUGUAAUUGUGACUUGUUCUCCCAGGCUGGCAGCCUGGUGGGGCUACCAGGCCCGAGCUUUGUUCCCUGCUCCCCUGUAGCCUGCCGAAGCGGUCAUCGGAGGGAAGGGUGGAGGCAGCUGCUGUGGGGAGAUGUAAAAUGACAAUUAAAAAAAGAUACAUGAG